rnacentral:lncRNA from 1 species
GAAUAAUGAGGCUCAAACGGGGGCUAAAUUACAUGUGCAAUGCACUUACACAUCAUGUUAGGUUUAUACAAGGAUGACAACAAGACGUGAAUUUAACAAAAGGGGUAUUUAUAUUUUAAAACACAAGUGAACCACAUGCAAAAUAUCAACAAAAACAUAGCUACCAAGUCCAGGCUCCAACUACAAGGUGCAAACCGAUCAACACAGAAUAAAAGAAGUAGAUUAACAGGCAUAUGCUGAUAAUCCAAGAAUUCAUGAUCUCGAAAACAUGCAGCAGGGAAACGUGAUUUGCAAGACAUUUUUUAAUUUGCAGAAGAGAUACGAAAAUAUUCUGCGUUUGAUGGUUCCUGAUCGAGCGGGAAUCACCAACAUCAACGGGCGUGUUUCUCUUCUGCUGCUAGUCUCAGAAAAAGGAGUCUUCCGAGAAUCAGAGUUCAUCAACUCCUCCUUGGUGCUGUAAUUCAUCUCUCUCUCUCUCUCUCUCUCUCUCUCUCUCUCUCUCUCUCUCUCUCUCACACACACACACACACACACACACUCUCUCUCAAAGACAGAGAGAAAUGAACAGAUAUUUU